CAGGACGUUGAUAGGCUGGGUGUGGAAGUGCAGUAAUGCAUUAAGCUAACCAGUACUAAUUGCCCGUACGGCUUGUCCCU
rnacentral:rRNA from 4 species